rnacentral:rRNA from 1 species
ACGCUGGCGGCGUGCCUAAUACAUGCAAGUAGAACGCACAGGAUGCACCGUAGUUUACUACACCGUAUUCUGUGAGUUGCGAACGGGUGAGUAACGCGUAGGUAACCUGCCUGGUAGUGGGGGAUAACUAUUGAAAACGAUAGCUAAUACCGCAUAAGAACAUUUACUGCAUGGUAGAUGUUUAAAAGGUGCAAAAGCAUCACUACCAGAUGGACCUGCGUUGUAUUAGCUAGUUGGUGAGGUAACGGCUCACCAAGGCAACGAUACAUAGCCGACCUGAGAGGGUGAUCGGCCACACUGGGACUGAGACACGGCCCAGACUCCUACGGGAGGCAGCAGUAGGGAAUCUUCGGCAAUGGGGGGAACCCUGACCGAGCAACGCCGCGUGAGUGAAGAAGGUUUUCGGAUCGUAAAGCUCUGUUGUUAAGGAAGAACGUGUGUGAGAGUGGAAAGUUCACACAGUGACGGUACUUAACCAGAAAGGGACGGCUAACUACGUGCCAGCAGCCGCGGUAAUACGUAGGUCCCGAGCGUUGUCCGGAUUUAUUGGGCGUAAAGCGAGCGCAGGCGGUUAGAUAAGUCUGAAGUGAAAGGCAGUGGCUCAACCAUUGUAGGCUUUGGAAACUGUUUAACUUGAGUGCAGAAGGGGAGAGUGGAAUUCCAUGUGUAGCGGUGAAAUGCGUAGAUAUAUGGAGGAACACCGGUGGCGAAAGCGGCUCUCUGGUCUGUAACUGACGCUGAGGCUCGAAAGCGUGGGGAGCGAACAGGAUUAGAUACCCUGGCAGUCCACGCCGUAAACGAUGAGUGCUAGGUGUUAGGUCCUUUCCGGGACUUAGUGCCGCAGCUAACGCAUUAAGCACUCCGCCUGGGGAGUACGACCGCAAGGUUGAAACUCAAAGGAAUUGACGGGGGCCCGCACAAGCGG